rnacentral:rRNA from 1 species
GACGAACGCUGGCGGCGUGCUUAACACAUGCAAGUCGAGCGGUAAGGCUCCUUCGGGGGUACACGAGCGGCGAACGGGUGAGUAACACGUGAGUAAUCUGCCCCUCACUUUGGGAUAAGCCUCGGAAACGAGGUCUAAUACCGAAUACGACCACUUCGGGCAUCCGAUGGUGGUGGAAAGUUUUUCGGUGGGGGAUGUGCUCGCGGCCUAUCAGCUUGUUGGUGGGGUAAUGGCCUACCAAGGCUUCGACGGGUAGCCGGCCUGAGAGGGUGACCGGCCACACUGGGACUGAGACACGGCCCAGACUCCUACGGGAGGCAGCAGUGGGGAAUAUUGGACAAUGGGCGGAAGCCUGAUCCAGCAACGCCGCGUGAGGGAUGACGGCCUUCGGGUUGCAAACCUCUUUCAGUAGGAACGAAGCGCAAGUGACGGUACCUACAGAAGAAGCACCGGCCAACUACGUGCCAGCCGCCGCAGUAAGAC